rnacentral:lncRNA from 1 species
CUCCAAUUGUCCUGGCAAUAUUUGUUGAAAAAACUUAUUACUGAUUUUUAGCAACCUGUUUGUGAAUGGAGAAUAAAGACUUAAUAAGAGUAAUCCUUUGAGGGGCUUCACAGACCCAGGAAGAGACUGCCCGUCCCAGAGCUAGCUGAUUCCUAAA